rnacentral:rRNA from 1 species
UGGAUCCAGACUUUGAUCAUGGCUCAGGACGAACGCUGGCGGCACGCUUAACACAUGCAAGUCGAACGGACGAGAGAGAAGCUUGCUUUUCUCGAGUUAGUGGCGGACGGGUGAGUAACACGUGAGCAACCUGCCUUUAAGAGAGGGAUAACAGCCUGAAAAGGCUGCUAAUACCUCAUAACAUAACAGUAUCGCAUGGUACAGUUAUCAAAGAUUAAUCGCUUAAAGAUGGGCUCGCGUCUGAUUAGUUAGUUGGUGAGGUAACGGCUCACCAAGACGACGAUCAGUAGCCGUACUGAGAGGUAGAACGGCCACAUUGGGACUGAGACACGGCCCAGACUCCUACGGGAGGCAGCAGUGGGGAAUAUUGCACAAUGGAGGGAACUCUGAUGCAGCGGUGCCGCGUGAGGGAAGAAGGUUUUCGGAUUGUAAACCUCUGUCUUUGGGGACGAUAAUGACGGUACCCAAGGAGGAAGCUCCGGCUAACUACGUGCCAGCAGCCGCGGUAAUACGUAGGGAGCGAGCGUUGUCCGGAAUUACUGGGUGUAAAGGGAGUGUAGGCGGGAUGGUAAGUUAGGUGUGAAAUAUAUGGGCUUAACCCAUAAACUGCACUUAAAACUGCUGUUCUUGAGUGAAGUAGAGGUUAGCGGAAUUCCCAGUGUAGCGGUGAAAUGCGUAGAUAUUGGGAGGAACAUCAGUGGCGAAGGCGGCUAACUGGGCUUUUACUGACGCUGAGGCUCGAAAGCGUGGGGAGCAAACAGGAUUAGAUACCCUGGUAGUCCACGCUGUAAACGAUGAUUACUAGGUGUGGGGGAGGCUGACCCUUUUCCGUGCCGCAGUUAACACAAUAAGUAAUCCACCUGGGGAGUACGGCCGCAAGGUUGCAACUCAAAUGAAUUGACGGA